AGCUUUGUGCAGUGGCAGUAUUGUAGCGAGUGAGGUUUAUUCAAGGCACAAUUAUUGCUAAUUGAAAACUUUUCCCAACACCCCUCUAUGAUGACUUGCAAUAUAGUCAGCACUAAUUUGACAGUCUCUACAGAGA
ensembl:snRNA U4 U4 spliceosomal RNA